CUACGGAAGGUCCGGGCGUUAUCCGGAUUUAUUGGGUUUAAAGGGAGCGCAGGCGGAGAUGCAAGCGUGACGUCAAAUUUCGGGGCUCAACCCCGUCUCGCGUCGCGAACUGCGUCCCUUGGUUGCGGGAAGGGGAGGCGGAACUCGUGGUGUAGAGGUGAAAUGCAUAGAUAUCACGAAGAACUCCGAUCGCGAAGGCAGCCUUCCGGCCCGUCAACGACGCUCAUGCUCGAAGGUGCGGGUAUCAAACAGGAUUAGAUACCCUGGUAGUCCGCACAGUAAACGAUGGACACCCGCGGUUCGGCCUGUAUGGCUGAGCCGCCAAGCGAAAGCGUUAAGUGUCCCACCUGGGGAGUACGCCGGCAACGGUGAAACUCAAAGGAAUUGACGGGG
rnacentral:rRNA from 1 species